ensembl:lncRNA
GUGUGUGUGUGUGUGUGUGUGUGUGUGUGAGGUGUUUAUCCAGGUCUGGUGCACUUGUGUACGUUUCCUCAUAUUUCUGUGGAUUACUAAGAAAUUCUUCCUGAUGUUCUGAUUAGAACUGUGUGUGUGCGCGCGCGAGUGUGUGUGCGCGCGCGAGUGGUGUGUGCGCGUGUGUGUGUGCGCGCUUGUGAAUUGAUGAUGAUUUAUGUUUGGUUGUAGAGAAGAUGCCAAGGGGAAACUUCCCUGAGUCAUCACUCACACAUGCUCGCUCGCUCUCUCUCUCUGUGUCUCUCUCUGUCUCUGUAUGUCUCUCUGUUUGUAGGUCUCUGUAUGUCUCUCUGUUUCUCUCUGUAUGUGUGUCUCUCUGUGUGUGUCUCUCUCUCUCUCUGUGUCUCUCUCUGUGUGUGUCUCUCUCUCUCUCUGUGUCUCUCUCUGUGUGUGUCUCUCUCUCUGUAGGUCUCUUCCUCUAUGCAUCAUGUGUAAUACAGUAUGCUGUAGUAAUAAUACAAUGGUGUGUGUGUGUGUGUGUGCGCGUGUGUGUGUGCACAGGAAGUGGCAGUGGCCCGCUCCACACAGACGGCUGUCUCACGUUACUCAGCCUCAGUUUUCUCUUUUCCGUAUGCAACAGGAAAUGGAUGUAUAUUACAUAAGAGGUGGGGGGUGGAGUCUCUGUGGGGUGGAACUGUUUACCAUUACUCAACAUUUUCCCCCGUGUGUGUGAGAGAGAGAGAGAGAGAGAGAGAGAGAGAGAGAUCAGUGGCAGGAAGAUGACUUUCAUUUCUACUUGACUGAGCAGGAGGCUCUCUCUGUAUCAGAUAAGAGAAUGUUUGAGUUUGGAGAUUUCUGAUGGUGCUGUGGUGAUGGUGAUGGUGAAGAUGGCUGUGAAUGAAGGACACACACUUACACACUCUUUGCUCGGAUCUCUCAUCAUACCAUGUUUAACAUGUUUUAACAUUCACUUUCAAUCAGUUUCACUUUCUACUCUGAUCUGCUGAAUUAAUAUUUAAAUCAGUCCGGCGGGGGUGAUUCUGUAUCAGUCUGAACUUCUAGACUUCUAGGAUUUGAAGCCGAAUCAAUACGUACAGGUUAUAAAUCUGAAUUGGAGUCUGAGGUUCCGUUCACACCUGGCUUCAACGUGUGUUUUGGGUGAUGGGAUGGUCAGGUGUGAACAGGGUCCGGAAGGUGUGUCUAGAAGGUGAAGGACAACUAAUUGCCCUCACUGUGAGACUGUCUGGCUCUGAAGGUUCGAGCUCUCUGCUGUAAGCUAAUGGAUAAAGACGCCGCUGUUGCAGCAGAAACCAGCUGCUUCUCAUAGGUUCACUCAUUACCUCAAGUUUCGUUAGAAGACCACCUGAUUAAAAUGUUUAAACAGUUUGUGAAUCCAUGAGAUUAGCUAUUAGGGACGUUUCUGCCUGAGGAUAAAUACUGCAGAAGACGGAUAUAAUAAACGUGUGUGUGAUUGCUUCUCUCCAGCAGAAACCAUCUAUGUAAUCCAUUCGCAAGUGCCCACUGAAGACGUGCUCAAAAUGCCAGGUGUGUCGCUGUUCGAUUGUGAUCCACUCACCCUGGACGGGUGUUAUAGCCAGGUGUGGACGUGGCCAGAGCCGACGCGCUCAGGACACGACUCUGAAUCGGUUUCGGAGCCGACGCGCUCAGGACACGACUCUGAAUCGGUUUCGGAGCCGACGCGCUCAGGACAAUACUCUGAAUCGGUUUCGGAGCCGACGCGCUCAGGACACGACUCUGAAUCGGUUUCGGAGCC